GCAAAAUAACAAAAGAUAAAGCUGUUGCUGUGCUGCUCCCUUAGUCUUUGGGGAUGCAGUGGGCUAUCAGAAGUUCGAAAUUAAAUAUAAGCGCGUACGGUUUUAUCUGCGAGGCCGACGAUUGGUCAGAAGCCGUGGCGAGAUGUGACGUGGGAGGAAAACGGCAGGGUCCCUACCUAACACCGUUGAUGAUGUCCAACAGGCCGCACGACCCACGCAAGCUUGCUUUUUCACUCUGAAUGCACUAACUUUACAGUUUUGCUUGGCAGUGUGUUAGUGUGCGAGGACAGACGUGAGCCAGCGGCGAAGGGGACGGGAGCGCCCUCAUGCAACGGCCAUGUUAGAUCAGCCCGAUCUCAGCAUUCACACUUAUAGACACAGAAAGACACUGGUUAGGAAAGCAGCUCCACCUUCUGAAAUGUCACAAGUCUUACCACAAUCCCCAGAGAGACUGCAAAAAGAAGUGUUGAGUAAGUCCGCAAGAGCUGGAAAGAUAUUUUUGCAGUUCGCAGGCUUUCUCUCUUUCUGCGCUCUCUUUCUGAGCCGCAGAGAGAAAGAGCGAGGGCGAGAGAGAGAAAGAAAGAAAGAGAGAGAGAGAACAAGCGUGUGUGCUGCAUUCGGAGGGAAAAAAAGUAUGUACAGCGAGUCCGGCCUCAAGGGGUUUCUGGAGCAAGAGCCAGAGCAAACACAACCUUUUUUACGGUGUCGUUUUCCUUUUCAUUUAUUACAAUAGCGCCUGCCGUAGUGUCGAAAUCUGGGAAGAAAUGGAGGGAAACAAUAUCACCACACAUCCCUUGCUGCACGGUGAGGGUGUGUUUGAGGGAACGGCUAAUGUUUUUGUCGUUUUCUUUCCCAGCCUCGUUCUGUCACCGCAAGGGAGGGAUUUAAGGGAACAGGGCAGAUGGACGGAUGAGCGAGGGGUAGAGAGAGAGAGAGAAAGGGCACAUGAGGAGAGCAGUAUCAUGGGGUGGAGCCUGUCCGUUUUCCUGCUUUCUCAUUGGCUGGAAGUGAGCGUCCGAGUCCACCUUGACCCGCAGCCCACGCCAGCGCAAUGCCAGGCCGAAAACCUGCUGGAUUUGCCAUUUGGAAGUAUUGACCUGCUACUUUCCCGUUCCCAAUGCAUUCGGACAGGGGAUUCCGGAGUGAAGCUGCUCCGCUCUGGGACAAGUGCCAAUUGCUCACAAAAGGCGAGUAAAAAUAUCAGUGAUCUCAACAAGGAAACGUCGGGGGUGAGUGGAAAACACAAAUUUGCAUGCGUCCGUGCAACUAACACAGAAAAAAGUGAAGGAUGGUUGCAAGGGGAGGGGAAGACACAGAAAAAGAGGAUUGUAAAAGAGGAGGUGGGGGCAUUUAUUCAAUCCUGCUUGAUGCUCCUCGGGCCUUCGAGAGCCGAUCGCAUGUGCUGUGGUAACUGCGAGACCAUUUGCAUGUGGCAGACACGCUAAUUGUGUGUUUGCUAACACGCACCAUUCAGCGAGAUGCGCUCCGGUCCGCAGACCGGGUUCACACACGCCUCCCAGACGCCCUGGUGGCCUCCUAUUGUUCCAGAGGCCCAGCCGAGCAGCCGGAGAGCCUAACCAGAGCCCUGCGCUGUCCUGACGAGAGGGGAAACUGGAAUUGGAGACCAGAUGGGAUAGCGAAACAGGAUGGACCCUCUUUCUCUCCGCAGCAAGAAAAAAGAGGCCUGUAGAAAGCGUUGCCUCCGGACGCUGACGUCCUCGCAGAUUUGUGUAAAAGUAAAGUUUGAAAUGGACUAACCAAGAUGCAGCCCUGCACAGGAACUUGACAAACAUGGCCACUAUGAAUCAUCAUUACAUGGAAAGAGCAGAAAGAAGAAAUUCUCCUGAAGUGUUUGACGCACAUGCGGACCCAGAUCCUAAAGAAAAGCCGGAUCCUAAGAUCAGCAGAAACUGGUUUCUCUUCGCUCCAGACGCAGACAGGCAGAGAGAGGACGUCUCUCCAGCGGAUCCCACUGUCCUUUGGGGUGAGGUAGUAGGUUGUAUAGUUUUAGGGUGACACCCUUCCUGUUAGAUAACUAUACAACUUACUGUCUUUCCUGAGGAGGCUGUAAUGUCACCGUCAUCUUCCUCUUUAAGCCCGAGCACGCACGGACCAGUGUUAUGUUAUUAUUGAUGAACUGUUAUUGUUUAGUUGUUCAUCUUUUGAAUUUUAUUUAAUGUUAACAUUUUCAGUUUCAGUUUUUUCGUGUAUUUUUAUUUUAUUUUUUAAUCAUUUGUAUUAAUUUUAGUUUCAUUUGUAAUUUUGAUGUCUGAAAUGUGGCAAGUAGCUGAAUAAGGUAGUUUAUUAUUAUAUAUAUAUAUUUAAUUUGUUGUAGUAAUGAGGUGUGUGUGUGUAUUUUAUAUAUUUUUAUAUAUUUUUCUGAUUUCAUUUUGAAUUUUAGUCAGGGUUUCGGUGUGUUUUUGUCAUUUUUAUUAGUUUUAGUUUUUGUUAUGUUUACAUAGUUUUUAAUAUUUUUAUAUUUUUCAUUUUAGUUUAUUUAAUUUGUUAUUUUAAUACUUCAGGUUAAACAAACAAAAAAUUCGAAUUUUGAAAGCUGAAAA